rnacentral:lncRNA from 1 species
AAAAAGGAGAAACAAAGAGAAAGAGAAUGAUUCUUCAAGGCGAAUGACUCGAAAUGGAGAUUUCUUCUAACACCGCGUGAUCACCGACAACUUUUGCAGGACGGGAUGAAACUCCUCUGGGUUUCCAGUCAGAUGUGCGAGUGGGCUCUCUUUAAAUUAUAAACCUGCAGUCUAACAGAGCCUUCAAGGUUAUGGCCAUGAGAAAUGUGAGUGGAG